rnacentral:rRNA from 1 species
AGAGUUUGAUCAUGGCUCAGGAUGAACGCUGGCGGUAUGCUUAACACAUGCAAGUCGAACGGGGGUAGAAAUACCCUAGUGGCGGACGGGUGAGUAACGCGUGAGAAUCUAGCUUCAGGUCGGGGAUAACAGAGGGAAACCGCUGCUAAUACCGGAUGAACCGAAAGGCGAAAGCCAAAGGUAAAAGAUUAAUUGCCUGAAGAUGAGCUCGCGUCCGAUUAGCUAGUUGGUAGGGUAAUGGCCUACCAAGGCGGCGAUCGGUAGCUGGUCUGAGAGGACGAUCAGCCACACUGGGACUGAGACACGGCCCAGACUCCUACGGGAGGCAGCAGUGGGGAAUUUUCCGCAAUGGGCGAAAGCCUGACGGAGCAAUACCGCGUGAGGGAGGAAGGCUCUUGGGUUGUAAACCUCUUUUCUCAAGGAAGAAGCAAUGACGGUACUUGAGGAAUCAGCAUCGGCUAACUCCGUGCCAGCAGCCGCGGUAAUACGGAGGAUGCAAGCGUUAUCCGGAAUGAUUGGGCGUAAAGCGUCCGCAGGUGGCAAUGCAAGUCUGCUGUCAAAGGCUGGGGCUUAACUCCAGACAGGCAGUGGAAACUGCAUCAGCUAGAGUGCGGUAGGGGCAGAGGGAAUUCCCGGUGUAGCGGUGAAAUGCGUAGAGAUCGGGAAGAACACCAGUGGCGAAAGCGCUCUGCUGGACCUGCACUGACACUCAGGGACGAAAGCUAGGGGAGCGAAUGGGAUUAGAUACCCCAGUAGUCCUAGCCGUAAACGAUGGAUACUAGGUGUUGUGAGUAUCGACCCUCACAGUGCCGCAGCUAACGCGCUAAGUAUCCCGCCUGGGGAGUACGCACGCAAGUGUGAAACUCAAAGGAAUUGACGG